CUGAACAAGCCCAAUGUCUGAUCGCAGAAACUAAGCAGGGUUGGUCCUGGUUAGUACUUGGAUGGGAGACCACCUAGGAAGAUCAGGUGCUGUAGGCA
rnacentral:rRNA from 1 species